rnacentral:rRNA from 1 species
UGCGCAGGUGGUCGGGUAAGUCUGAUGUGAAAUCCCGCAGCUUAACUGCGGAAUGGCAUUGGAUACUAUUCGGCUAGAGGGUUGGGAGGGGGGACGUGGAAUUCUCGGUGUAGCAGUGAAAUGCGUAGAUAUCGAGAGGAACACCGGUGGCGAAGGCGAGUCCCUGGACAACUCCUGACGCUAAGGCACGAAAGCUAGGGAAGCAAACA